GGCUCGGUAGCUCAGUUGGUAGAGCAAUGGAUUGAAGAUCCAUGUGUCGGCGGUUCGAUUCCGUCUCGCGCCAUUU
rnacentral:tRNA from 1 species